UUUUAAUUGAAGGAUAGUAUGAAAGGUAAUACGAACAAAAUUAGGUUUUUAAUUUAUUUAUUAAAUUUAAUUUAUGAAUUAAAAAGUUCAUAUAUAGUUUAGGGACAAGAAGACCCUAUAAAGUUUAAUUUAAAUUUCUUUUUAUAUAAGUAUGCUAAAUUUUGUUGGGGUAAUAUUACAAGAAUAGAUUUUGUAAAUAACAGUUUUUUAUUAAAUAUUUAAACCCGUUAAUAACGAAUAUUAAAAUUAAUUACUUUAGGGAUAACAGCAUAAUUAAAAUUUUAAAGUUCAGAUUUACAAUUUUGGUUGUGACCUCGAUGUUG
rnacentral:rRNA from 1 species